UUUAUUUUCAAAUAUUCUCUAAUAAACUUUAAAUCUGUUCUUAUCAGUUUAAUAACUGAUAAGUCCUUUAUUUAAGGACUGUAUGUUAAAUUGAUUUUUGAAACAAGGGGAUGGAAUAGGAGCUUGCUCUGUCCACCCUAUGCAUUGAUCUGGUAUUGCAGUGUCUCCAGGACCAGUGCCUCUCCU